ACGGCUCAGUAACACGUAGUCAACCUAACCUAUGGACGGAGAUAACCUCGGGAAACUGAGAAUAAUAUCCGAUAGAACACUAUACCUGGAAUGGUUUGUGUUCCAAUGAUUUAUCGCCGUAGGAUGGGACUGCGGCCUAUCAGUUUGUUGGUGAGGUAAUGGCCCACCAAGACUAUUACAGGUACGGGCUCUGAGAGGAGUAGCCCGGAGAUGGGUACUGAGACACGGACCCAGGCCCUAUGGGGCGCAGCAGGCGAGAAAACUUUGCAAUGUGCGAAAGCACGACAAGGUUAAUCCGAGUGAUUUGUGCUAAACGAAUCUUUUGUUAGUCUUAGAACCACUAACGAAUAAGGGGUGGGCAAGUUCUGGUGUCAGCCGCCGCGGUAAAACCAGCACCUCAAGUGGUCAGGAUGAUUAUUGGGCCUAAAGCAUCCGUAGCCGGCUCUGUAAGUUUUCGGUUAAAUCUGUACGCUCAACGUACAGGCUGCCGGGAAUACUGCAGAGCUAGGGAGUGGGAGAGGUAGACGGUACUCGGAAGGAAGGGGUAAAAUCCUUUGAUCUUUUGAUGACCACUUGUGGCGAAGGCGGUCUACCAGAACACGUCCGACGGUGAGGGAUGAAAUCUGGGGGAGCAAACCGGAUUAGAUACCCGGGUAGUCCCAGCUGUAAACUAUGCAAACUCAGUGAUGCAUUGACUUGUGGUCAAUGCAGUGCUGCAGGGAAGCCGUUAAGUUUGCCGCCUGGGAAGUACGUACGCAAGUAUGAAACUUAAAGGAAUUGGCGGGGGAGCAC
rnacentral:rRNA from 1 species